rnacentral:rRNA from 1 species
ACAGUUCGGUCCCUAUCUGCCGUGGGCGUUGGAGAUUUGAGGGAAGCUGUUCUUAGUACGAGAGGACCGGAAUGGACGAACCUCUGGUGUACCGGUUGUCACGCCAGUGGCACAGCCGGGUAGCUAUGUUCGGAAGGGAUAACCGCUGAAAGCAUCUAAGCGGGAAGCCCCUCCCAAGAUAAGAUCUCCCUGAGACUGUAAGUCUCCUAAAGAUCCGUUGUAGACUACGACGUUGAUAGGCUCCAUGUGGAAGUGUAGUAAUAUAUGCAGCUAAGGAGUACUAAUUGAUCGUGAGACUUGAUCAUACAACGCUCAAG